rnacentral:rRNA from 1 species
GAUGAACGCUGGCGGCGUGCCUAAUACAUGCAAGUCGAACGCUUUGUGGUUCAACUGAUUUGAAGAGCUUGCUCAGAUAUGACGAUGGACAUUGCAAAGAGUGGCGAACGGGUGAGUAACACGUGGGAAACCUACCUCUUAGCAGGGGAUAACAUUUGGAAACAGAUGCUAAUACCGUAUAACAAUGACAACCGCAUGGUUGUUAUUUAAAAGAUGGUUCUGCUAUCACUAAGAGAUGGUCCCGCGGUGCAUUAGCUAGUUGGUAAGGUAAUGGCUUACCAAGGCGAUGAUGCAUAGCCGAGUUGAGAGACUGAUCGGCCACAAUGGGACUGAGACACGGCCCAUACUCCUACGGGAGGCAGCAGUAGGGAAUCUUCCACAAUGGGCGAAAGCCUGAUGGAGCAACGCCGCGUGUGUGAUGAAGGGUUUCGGCUCGUAAAACACUGUUGUAAGAGAAGAAUGACAUUGAGAGUAACUGUUCAAUGUGUGACGGUAUCUUACCAGAAAGGAACGGCUAAAUACGUGCCAGCAGCCGCGGUAAUACGUAUGUUCCAAGCGUUAUCCGGAUUUAUUGGGCGUAAAGCGAGCGCAGAUGGUUAUUUAAGUCUGAAGUGAAAGCCCUCAGCUCAACUGAGGAAUUGCUUUGGAAACUGGAUGACUUGAGUGCAGUAGAGGAAAGUGGAACUCCAUGUGUAGCGGUGAAAUGCGUAGAUAUAUGGAAGAACACCAGUGGCGAAGGCGGCUUUCUGGACUGUAACUGACGUUGAGGCUCGAAAGUGUGGGUAGCAAACAGGAUUAGAUACCCUGGUAGUCCACACCGUAAACGAUGAGUGCUAGGUGUUUGAGGGUUUCCGCCCUUAAGUGCCGCAGCUAACGCAUUAAGCACUCCGCCUGGGGAGUACGACCGCAAGGUUGAAACUCAAAGGAAUUGACGGGGACCCGCACAAGCGGUGGAGCAUGUGGUUUAAUUCGAAGCAACGCGAAGAACCUUACCAGGUCUUGACAUCCCUUGACAACUCCAGAGAUGGAGCGUUCCCUUCGGGGACAAGGUGACAGGUGGUGCAUGGUUGUCGUCAGCUCGUGUCGUGAGAUGUUGGGUUAAGUCCCGCAACGAGCGCAACCCUUAUUACUAGUUGCCAGCAUUCAGUUGGGCACUCUAGUGAGACUGCCGGUGACAAACCGGAGGAAGGUGGGGAUGACGUCAAAUCAUCAUGCCCCUUAUGACCUGGGCUACACACGUGCUACAAUGGCGUAUACAACGAGUUGCCAACCCGCGAGGGUGAGCUAAUCUCUUAAAGUACGUCUCAGUUCGGAUUGUAGGCUGCAACUCGCCUACAUGAAGUCGGAAUCGCUAGUAAUCGCGGAUCAGCACGCCGCGGUGAAUACGUUCCCGGGUCU